GUGCCAGCAGCCGCGGUAAAACCAGCACCUCAAGUGGUCAGGAGGAUUAUUGGGCCUAAAGCAUCCGUAGCCGGCUCUGUAAGUUUUCGGUUAAAUCUAUACGCUCAACGUAUGGGCUGCCGGGAAUACUGCAGAGCUAGGGAGUGGGAGAGGUAGACGGUACUCCGUAGGAAGGGGUAAAAUCCUUUGAUCUAUGGAUGACCACCUGUGGCGAAGGCGGUCUACCAGAACACGUCCGACGGUGAGGGAUGAAAGCUGGGGGAGCAAACCGGAUUAGAUACCCGGGUAGUCCCAGCUGUAAACUAUGCAAACUCAGUGAUGCAUUGGCUUGUGGCCAGUGCAGUGCCGCAGGGAAGCCGUUAAGUUUGCCGCCUGGGAAGUACGUACGCAAGUAUGAAACUUAAAGGAAUUGGCGGGGGAGCACCACAAGGGGUGAAGCCUGCGGUUCAAUUGGAGUCAACGCCAGAAAUCUUACCCGGAGAGACAGCAGAAUGAAAGGUCAAGCUGAAGACUUUACCAGACAAGCUGAGAAGUGGUGCA
rnacentral:rRNA from 1 species